GUUGUGGAAGGACCUGACGCAGCAGUUCAUGAGAGGAAACCCACCAACAUAACAGAGUUGAAGCUGGUUUGUACAGAGGGGCUAAAAUUCCACCAAGUCGAUGUGCAGGACUCAUCAACAGCUACCAGAAACAUUUAGCUACAGUCAUUGCUGCACAAGGGGGUCAAACCAGGUACUGAAAGCAAAGGUUUACAUAUUUUUACCACUUACAGAUGUAAUAUUGGAUCAAUUUCCUCAAUACAUAAAUGACCAAGUCCAAUAUUUUGAUCUCAUUUGUUUAAUUGGGUUCUAUUUAUAUUUUAUGCCAUAUUUAUGCAAAAAUAUCAAAAAUUCCAAAGGGUUCAUAAACUUUCAAGCAUCACUAUAUGUCCCUAAAUCUUACUUAAAAAGGUUUGAUGUUAUUUUCUCAUGUCUACCAAAAUCCAGUGUGCUUUACUUUAGACCAUAACCACAAUAGGGCUUCCUGUGGAAAUGGUGCUGGCACGCUUUCAAAAAGCCACCCACUUAAAAUCUGCUUAUAAAACUCAGAGCAAGAUCAAAUCAGAUCACUGACCAUUGUCUCCUGGAGCUCAAGCUGCAGCUAUGAGCGUCUGUCCUCGUUCUCUCCUCCUGGGAUUGCUGAUCGUCCUCUACCUUCACUCCUGUGCAGUGGGACAAAAUCCAAACACACCAUCAAAAUGCUGUUUCAAUUUCUAUAAAACAGCAAUUCCAAUGAAUUUCAUUGCAAAGUAUGAAAAAACGAGGUCUGACUGUCCAAACGCUGGAGUGGUUUUUACCACCAAGAGGGGGAUUAGCUUGUGUUUGAAGCCCAGAGUUCAGUGGGUGAAGCGGGCCAUGGAUUACAUUGAUCUCCAAAUUGUGGAAAAUAAUUCCACCUCUGCAUCAGUCUGAGCUUUGCUUAUUCUUUCUUAAUGAAACGCAUGUGAUUUAUCCCAAUACAGCAGUUUGAUACCCUCUGAUUUUGUUCCAUAUAAGAAAAUGUAAAACAUUUCUAAUGUGUAGAUGUCAGAGACCCUCUAUUGAUUUCAUUUCCAGCCAUUAAGUACAAAUUAUACAUUUUCCAGCAACAGGAAAAAAGCAACAAAAAAUGUAUUUAAACUACACAAAAGCCUUGAAAACGAAUCUACUCUCAGCUGUAUGAGGGUCGGUGAGUCAAUCUUCACCUUCAUUCCAACCUCCAUGCUCCUCAGGAGACUCACUUUCAGCUCCUCAAAGAAUCUGUUCAAAAAAAAAAAGUUCAGCCUCUGAAGCUGGUUGAUGAUUUUCUGAA